rnacentral:rRNA from 1 species
CUGACUCAGGGAGGUAGUGACAAAAAAUAACUGUUUAGGGCCCUUUGUGGUCUUAUUUUGGAAAUGAGAACAAUUUAAAUCCCUUAUCGAGGAUCAAUUGGAGGGCAAGUCUGGUGCCAGCAGCCGCGGUAAUUCCAGCUCCAAUAGCGUAUAUUAAUGUUGUUGCAGUUAAAAAGCUCGUAGUUGGAUUUCUGAUCGGUUCGUCUAUCCAGGUCCGCAAGGAUCUGUGUGUGACGCAACCUGUCAUCCUCAGGGGGACUGUUCACUGGCAUUCAGUUGUCGGUGUCGGGACGCCUGUCGUUUACUGUGGACAAAUUAGAGUGUUCAAAGCAAGGUGUUCUUGAAUACAUUAGCAUGGAAUAAUAAGAUAGGACUCUGACGGUUCUUUUUGAUAUUUUUGUUGGUUUUGCACGCCAGAGUACUGAUUAAUAGGAGCAGUUGGGGGUAUUCGUAUUCAAUUGUCAGAGGUGAAAUUCUUGGAUCUAUAGAAGACGAACUACUGC